UCGAUACAUAGCCGACCUGAGAGGGUGAUCGGCCACACUGGGACUGAGACACGGCCCAGACUCCUACGGGAGGCAGCAGUAGGGAAUCUUCGGCAAUGGGGGCAACCCUGACCGAGCAACGCCGCGUGAGUGAAGAAGGUUUUCGGAUCGUAAAGCUCUGUUGUAAGAGAAGAACUGUGAGAAGAGUGGAAAGUUUCUCAUUUGACGGUAUCUUACCAGAAAGGGACGGCUAACUACGUGCCAGCAGCCGCGGUAAUACGUAGGUCCCGAGCGUUGUCCGGAUUUAUUGGGCGUAAAGCGAGCGCAGGCGGUUUGAUAAGUCUGAAGUAAAAGGCUGUGGCUUAACCAUAGUACGCUUUGGAAACUGUCAAACUUGAGUGCAGAAGGGGAGAGUGGAAUUCCAUGUGUAGCGGUGAAAUGCGUAGAUAUAUGGAGGAACACCGGUGGCGAAAGCGGCUCUCUGGUCUGUAACUGACGCUGAGGCUCGAAAGCGUGGGGAGCGAACAGGAUUAGAUACCCUGGUAGUCCACGCCGUAAACGAUGAGUGCUAGGUGUUGGGUCCUUUCCGGGACUCAGUGCCG
rnacentral:rRNA from 1 species